AUUGAACGCUGGCGGCAUGCCUUACACAUGCAAGUCGAACGGCAGCACGGGUGCUUGCACCUGGUGGCGAGUGGCGAACGGGUGAGUAAUACAUCGGAACGUGCCCAGUCGUGGGGGAUAACGUAGCGAAAGCUGUGCUAAUACCGCAUACGCCCUGAGGGGGAAAGCGGGGGAUCGAAAGACCUCGCGCGAUUAGAGCGGCCGAUGCCUGAUUAGCUUGUUGGUGGGGUAAAAGCCCACCAAGGCGACGAUCAGUAGCUGGUCUGAGAGGACGAUCAGCCACACUGGGACUGAGACACGGCCCAGACUCCUACGGGAGGCAGCAGUGGGGAAUUUUGGACAAUGGGGGCAACCCUGAUCCAGCAAUGCCGCGUGAGUGAAGAAGGCCUUCGGGUUGUAAAGCUCUUUUGUCAGGGAAGAAACACCGGCUCUAACACAGUCCGGGAAUGACGGUACCUGAAGAAUAAGCACCGGCUAACUACGUGCCAGCCGCCGCCGUAA
rnacentral:rRNA from 1 species